rnacentral:lncRNA from 1 species
GUGAGGACUUUAUUUUGUAGAUGCUCUUCAUCGGCAACGGGCGCAACAGAAGAUUGGCCACAACAAGUAUAUUCAAUAUUUAUCUUUUUUUUUAUAAAAAAAUAAUUUAUUUUUGUAGAAAUAAUGAUGAAAUAUAAAAUAUCAUAAUAUACAUCAAAUUUUUAAUUUAAUGGCAUGAAUUCAUACGAUUAAGUAAACUAUACGUAGUU